rnacentral:rRNA from 1 species
AACAGAGGUGGCAAGCGUUGUUCGGAAUUACUGGGCGUAAAGAGCACGUAGGCGGUUUGAUAAGCGGAAUGUGAAAGCCCCGGGCUUAACCUGGGAACUGCAUUCCGAACUGUCAGGCUAGAGUAUGAUAGAGGUGAGCGGAAUUUCCUGUGUAGCGGUGAAAUGCGUAGAUAUAGGAAGGAACAUCAGUUGCGAAGGCGGCUCACUGGAUCAAUACUGACGCUGAGGUGCGAAAGCGUGGGUAGCGAACAGG